AACGUAGGACACAAGCGUUAUCCGGAGUUACUGGGCGUAAAGGCGUGUAGGCGGAUCGGUAAGUCUACUCUGAAAGCUCCUGGCUAAACUGGGAGAGGCGAGUGGAGACUGUCGGUCUAGAGUGAGGAAGAGGAAAGUGGAAUUCCGCGUGUAGUGGUGAAAUGCGUAGAUAUCGGGAGGAACACCAGUGGCGAAGGCGGCUUCCUGGCCUGUUCUUGGA
rnacentral:rRNA from 1 species